UACGUAGGGUGCAAGCGUUAAUCGGAAUUACUGGGCGUAAAGCGUGCGCAGGCGGUUUUGUAAGUUUGUUGUGAAAGCCCCGGGCUCAACCUGGGAAUUGCGAUGAAGACUGCAAGGCUUGAAUCUGGCAGAGGGGGGUAGAAUUCCACGUGUAGCAGUGAAAUGCGUAGAGAUGUGGAGGAACACCGAUGGCGAAGGCAGCCCCCUGGGUCAAGAUUGACGCUCAUGCACGAAAGCGUGGGGAGCAAACAGG
rnacentral:rRNA from 1 species